rnacentral:rRNA from 1 species
UACGUAGGGGGCAAGCGUUGUCCGGAAUUAUUGGGCGUAAAGAGCGCGUAGGCGGUCCGAUAAGUCGGCUGUGAAAGUCAGGGGCUCAACCCUUGAAAGCCGGCCGAUACUGUCGGACUAGAGUCCGGAAGAGGCAAGUGGAAUUCCCGGUGUAGCGGUGAAAUGCGCAGAUAUCAGGAGGAACACCGGUGGCGAAGGCGGGUCUCUGGGCCGAUACUGACGCUGAGGAGCGAAAGCGUGGGGAGCGAACAGG